AAAUAAACCUUAUAGAAGUGGAAAGCCCGGAGUGAGGUACGAGCGAGGACUUGAAACGGAAAGAAGGACUGAUG
rnacentral:misc_RNA from 1 species